rnacentral:rRNA from 1 species
GCCGUUGAAGGUGUGUUGUAAAGCAUGCUGGAGGUAUCAGAAGUGCGAAUGCUGACAUGAGUAACGACAAGGGGGGGUGAAAAACCUCCCCGCCGGAAGACCAAGGGUUCCUGUCCAACGUUAAUCGGGGCAAGGGUAAGUCGACCCCUAAGGCGAGGCUGAAAAGCGUAGUCGAUGGGAAACGGGUUAAUAUUCCCGUACUUCUUACAAUUGCGAUGGGGGGACGGAGAAGGCUAGGUGGGCCUGGCGACGGUUGUCCAGGUUCAAGUGCGUAGGCUGAGUGUUUAGGUAAAUCCGGAYACUCUUAAGGCUGAGACACGACGUCGAGCUACUACGGUAGUGAAGUCAUUGAUGCCAUGCUUCCAGGAAAAGCCUCUAAGCUUCAGAUUGUAAGGAAUCGUACCCCAAACCGACACAGGUGGUCGGGUAGAGAAUACCAAGGCGCUUGAGAGAACUC